rnacentral:rRNA from 1 species
UACGUAGGGUGCGAGCGUUGUCCGGAAUUAUUGGGCGUAAAGAGCUUGUAGGCGGUUUGUCGCGUCUGCCGUGAAAAUUCGAGGCUCAACCUCGAACUUGCGGUGGGUACGGGCAGACUAGAGUGUGGUAGGGGAGACUGGAAUUCCUGGUGUAGCGGUGGAAUGCGCAGAUAUCAGGAGGAACACCCGUGGCGAAGGCGGUUCUCUGGGACGGUACUGACGCUGAGACGCGAAAGCGUGGGGAGCGAACAGG